AGUACCCGGCAAACUAUGUGCCAGCAGCCGCGGUAAUACAUAGGGGGCGAGCGUUAUCCGGAAUUAUUGGGCGUAAAGGGUGCGUAGGCGGUUUAAUAAGUCUAUAGUUUAAUUUCAGUGCUUAACACUGUCCUGCUAUAGAAACUAUUAGACUAGAGUGAGAUAGAGGCAAGUGGAAUUCCAUGUGUAGCGGUAAAAUGCCGUAAAUAUAUGGGAGGAACACCAGAGGCGUAGGCGGCUUGCUGGGUCUUUACUGACGCUGAGGCACGAAAGCGUGGGGAGCAAACAGGAUUAGAUACCCUGGUAGUCCACGCCGUAAACGAUGAGUACUAAGUGUCGGGAUUACUCGGUACUGAAGUUAACACAUUAAGUACUCCGCCUGAGUAGUACGUACGCAAGUAUGAAACUUAAAGGAAUUGACGGGACUCCGACACAAGCGGUGGAUCAUGUUGUUUAAUUCGAAGAUACACGAAAAACCUUACCAGGUCUUGACAUACUCUGCAAAGCUAUAGCAAUAUAGUGGAGGUUAUCA
rnacentral:rRNA from 1 species